AAAAUGUCGGCAUCUGUCGCGUUCGGGUCGUUUCGUAAGCGAGAUGAGCGUUUUUAUGUUUCUGGAUGGAUAUCAAUCGGCAUUAGAAUAUCUAGAGAAUAUCAACAAAGCACACAUCCAUAGGAUACUACAAUGGCUCUGUACCAGUUUUCUUUUGAAGAGGUUGUCGAAAAACAACAACUACGCAAUAAAAACCAAUUUGUUCACGUUACGCUAAAAUAUAAGUGCGUUUUAUUGUUGGACCAUGAACGACUAAGCUGUCAACUAUGGGCUGUGAGGCUGCGCUUGCAAAUAUUUUUAAAAAACAGCAUGAAUCAAGCCACUCAACGAGUGGCGGGAAUCACUGACGGAGCAGCAGAACAAAAUAAACCGUUUAUUUACUGGACAAUGAACCACCAGAAUAAUGUUGAAAACCCUCAGGAUAAGAAUAGCUUCUCUAGUAGUGGUGUGUAUGUAUGAAUUACACAUCGAAAUAGAUUAACACUUCGAUCCGGGGACAAAUCCAACUUGAAUCGCGAAUGGAAAGGUGUUCCGCUAUCUUUGAAAGCAUAUACUCUAUAUCUGGUGGGAGUUGCCGUUAGG